rnacentral:lncRNA from 10 species
UAGAAAAUGUAUGCAUAAAUGUUUUGCACCUGGAAGGCCCUCAGUAAAUGCUGUUCCGCUUUUUUCCUUAAAAGGCUGCUGCUCCUUCAAUUUGGUAUGCUGACAUCCAGUGGUGGUGCUGUGGCAUUAGUGUGUGAGUUUCACAGGAGCCACACUGCUUAGUCUUGCAUCCUGGCUCAUCCGUAGCUCACCCUGUAACUUUGGGCAAGGUUACCUCACUGUCUUGUAUUUCAGUUUUCUCAUCUAUAAAAUUAAGAUGAUAAUAAUCAUAGUACCUGCCCUACAGGGACAUUGCAAAAAUUAAAUGAGUUAGGCCCUUAGAAAUGGGCCUGGUAUAUGCUAGGUACAGUUGGCCCUUGAACAAAAUGAGUUUGAACUGUGUGGGUCCACUUAUACUUGGAUUUUAUUCUGCCUCUGCCUGUCCAAGACAGUAAGACCAACCCCUCUUCUUCCUCCUCCGCAGCCUACUGAAUGUGAAGACUAUGAAGAUGAAGACCUUUAUGAUGAUCCACUUUCACUUAAUGAAGGAAAUUCUUCCUGCUUCUCCAUGCUCUUGAUUUGGAGGCAGGAAAGGACUGUGAAUGUUGCAAUGGAAUGCGUUUGAAGGCAAGGGCCCCAGUCUCCACUCCUAGCCUCUUUCACUUCCCCUUCCUCGCAAUUACUCUUUAUUGCCAAGAGAAGAUUACGCAGAAGACAGCCUCUCCAUGAAGCAUCUUCCAAGUGGCUGAUACUACGAAGACUCCAUAAAGUCCCACUUACCAGCACAGGAUGGAACAGAUCCUAUGUCAAUACAUCCAGACUUUUGGCUAGA